AACGACUCUCGGCAACGGAUAUCUCGCGUCUCGCAUCGAUGAAGAACGUAGCGAAAUGCGAUACUUGGUGUGAAUUGCAGAAUCCCGUGAACCAUCGAGUCUUUGAACGCAAGUUGCGCCCAAAGCCAUUAGGCCGAGGGCACGUCUGCCUGGGUGUCACGUA
rnacentral:rRNA from 1 species